UGGGGAAUAUUGGGCAAUGGGCGCAAGCCUGACCCAGCAACGCCGCGUGAAGGAAGAAGGCUUUCGGGUUGUAAACUUCUUUUCUCAGGGACGAAGCAAGUGACGGUACCUGAGGAAUAAGUCACGGCUAACUACGUGCCAGCAGCCGCGGUAAUACGUAGGUGGCAAGCGUUAUCCGGAUUUACUGGGUGUAAAGGGCGUGUAGGCGGGAAAGCAAGUCAGAUGUGAAAACCAUGGGCUCAACCUGUGGCCUGCAUUUGAAACUGUUUUCUUGAGUACUGGAGAGGCAGACGGAAUUCCUAGUGUAGCGGUGAAAUGCGUAGAUAUUAGGAGGAACACCAGUGGCGAAGGCGGUCUGCUGGACAGCAACUGACGCUGAGGCGCGAAAGCGUGGGGAGCAAACAGGAUUAGAUACCC
rnacentral:rRNA from 1 species